rnacentral:lncRNA from 1 species
UAGUUCCUAUCACUACCAUUUUCAAAUACCAAGUAGAAAAGACCUACAUGAGUGAUGUAUUAAACAAAGAAAUAAACAAUCCACAAACAUUUCUUGAGUAUCUAUUAUAGAAACAGCAUCCAAGGAAAUAAUUGGAUAAAGAAUAGGAAAGGUUUUUGUUUGUCGGUUUGUUUUUAUCUUCCGGAUACAUAAUAAAUUACUUGUCAGUUUUCUGUCAAGAAAUCUAUUAAGCCAAAAGGUUGUAAGAAUGCACUGAGUUGGUUGUGAGGGUGGUAGCAAAU